CGUAGGCGGCAGCGCAAGUCAGAUGUGAAAGCCCUCGGCUAAACCGGGGAAUUGCAUCUGAAACUGCGUAGCUAGAGUUCGGGAGAGGGCGGCGGAACUCCCGGUGUAGGGGUGAAAUCCGUAGAUAUCGGGAGGAACACCAGAGGCGAAGGCGGCCGCCUGGAUCUGUUCUGACGCUGAGGCACGAAAGCGUGGGUAGCGAACGGGAUUAGAUACCCCGGUAGUCCACGCCGUAAACAAUGUGCACUAGGUCGAGGGCGUUCUGACGCGACUCUCGGCCGAAGCGAAAGUGUUAAGUGCACCGCCUGAGGAGUACGGUCGCAAGGCUAAAACUCAAAGGAAUUGACGGGGGCUCACACAAGCGGUGGAGCAUGUGGCUUAAUUCGAAGCAACGCGAAGAACCUUAUCCUAGGUUUGACAUACACGGAUUAGCUAUAAGAAACUAUAGUGACACCUUCGGGUGGAACGUGAACAGGUGCUGCAUGGCUGUCGUCAGCUCGUGCAGUGAAGUGUCGGGUUAAGUCCCUUAACGAGCGCAACCCUUAUCGUUAGUUGCUAACAGGUAAUGCUGAGGACUCUAGCGAGACUGCCGGUGUUAAACCGGAGGAAGGUGGGGAUGACGUCAAGUCCGCAUGGCCUUUAUGCCUAGGGCUGCACACGUGCUACAAUGGCAAGUACAAAACGAAGCAAUACCGCAAGGUGGAGCAAAUCGCAAAAACUUGCCCCAGUUCGGAUUGCAGGCUGCAACUCGCCUGCAUGAAGUUGGAAUCGCUAGUAAUCGUGGAUCAGCAUGCCACGGUGAAUACGUUCCUGAGCCUUGUAC
rnacentral:rRNA from 1 species